UACGGAGGGUGCAAGCGUUGUCCGGAUUUAUUGGGUUUAAAGGGUGCGUAGGCGGUUCUUUAAGUCCGGGGUGAAAGCCCACUGCUCAACAGUGGAACUGCCCUGGAAACUGGAGAACUUGAGUACAGACGAGGGCGGCGGAAUGGAUGGUGUAGCGGUGAAAUGCAUAGAUACCAUCCAGAACCCCGAUUGCGAAGGCAGGUGCCUAGACUUUAACUGAC
rnacentral:rRNA from 1 species